CAGCACAAAGAAAGUAGCAAUACUUUUUGGUGGCGACCGGCGCACGGGUGAGUAACGCGUAUGCAACCUACCUACUACUUUGGGAUAGCUCGUUGAAAGACGAAUUAAUACCUUAUAAUACAGGGACUCCGCAUGGAGAUAUUUGUUAAAGAUUUAUUGGUAGUAGAUGGGCAUGCGUUCCAUUAGUUAGUUGGUGAGGUAACGGCUCACCAAGACAACGAUGGAUAGGGGAACUGAGAGGUUUGUCCCCCACACUGGAACUGAGACACGGUCCAGACUCC
rnacentral:rRNA from 1 species